ensembl:lncRNA
GUGGGGGGUGGGGGGGAGAAGAGCGACGAGCGACGCGCACCCAGAGUUCGGCAGCGCGAUCGCGACAGUCCCGUGGGCCGGAGAGGCGAGCCCUACCCCGAUGUAACCUCCCUACCCAGCCCCGGCCCCUGCACGAGGGCGGCGAAACUUCUCUGCGGGUUCUGGCGCUGGGGCAGCGGCCCCGCAACAACUGCCUCGGCUGCGGGUAGGGGAGGAGAGCAGAGAGCGUCCCAGGCAAGUCCCUUGGGCACGGAUUAGGGCGUGGAGACUCCUCUUUCCUUUUUCCCCACUGCCUUAUUACUUGGCGGGCCUAGAAUGCUCCCCUGGGGAGACCCCCCCCUCCCUCCUUUCCUCUGGGUCCGGCCACGGGCUUCUGGAAUUCCUGGUAAGGGGGGGUGACUUGGUGGGAAAGUGCCCUAAAGUGCAGGCUGGGUGCCAGGUUAGGUCAUUCCCUGGAGGGGAGCUGUCUUUCUCUUUCUCACCAACUUCUUCCUCACCUUACAUAGUUCCCUUUUCUGCUCCAGCUCUGCAGACUAUUUCAUCAAAAUUAAAAGAGAGAAAAGAGAAAAGAAAGGCAAAGGGAGGGGGAAAGGAGCCCAGGCCGUACAGGAAGGAGAAGUGUCCUAGCAUGUCCAGGGCAGGAGGGCUGGGCCCGGAGCACCCUUGCGCAUCUCCUGUCCUCGGCCGGCCCUGCCCCCAAGCCUUGUGCAGUAAACGUUUCCUUCCUUCAAGAUGAGCAGACGUUCCGCUUCUAAUUGCCCCGUCGGUGUCCCCUUUCUUUAGGACUCCAAAGGACUUUUCAGAGCAGCAUAAACGGGGUGGAGGGUUGUACCAGGACCCAGCUAUGGCUUCAGGGAGCACCUCAUUUUUGCACUUGGGGAUGACGUCCCAAAAUUGUGCUAAUGUUCUUAAUAUUUCUGACAAAAUUGCCAUUUUCCUUCUUUCUUCGUUAUUUGGAGAUAAAGCUUCCAGCUAUGCAAAGCAAAAAGUUUUGAAAGAAUAGGCGUUUCUAUUUUCAUCCCAGUUGUAUUAUUUUUGAUAUGGCUUGGGUAAUAGGACAUGUAGCCCCUGUCUUCAGGCGCUGACAAUCCAGUGUACACAAAGUGGAGAUUUCCAAACAUCAUUGUGGUAGAUGUUAAGACUUCUCUGUUGUGUGCCACUUGAAGGCAGAUGGCCUUUGCCUUAGCAGAGGUCUAGCUUGUAGUUCAAACUGUGGCCAGCCCAGCACAGGGCAUCUACAAAGUGCUAAGUAAAUGUGUGUUGAAUGAAUGAAUGUCAGCGCAUGGAUUGUUUGCAGUUGUUGAAAUGGGAGAGAAAACAGCAUCUAUAAACUGGCUUAUGGAAGUUUUCUCUGGCUGUUGCUUUUAGACCUACCCAUUCUUUGGCUCUCUUUGUGAACCCUACUUUUUUUUAACAAAUUGUCUGUGACACUCCUGUGGCAUUUUAGCUAGUUGAUAAUGGGAGCCCUGCUCACUUCAUAGAUGGGUAAUUCCUGGGUAUUAAUUUGGAAAUUGCCUGCUCGUUGGUGGAGGGUUUUUACAAACCUUUCCUUUCCCCUUUCAUUUGUGCUUGCUUCUUCCCUCUUCUGUGUAAGGAAGUUGGGCCUGCAAAUCCC